AAGUAGCUGAACUUAGAACUGCAAAAAUGCCUGUUCAAUGGUCAGAACACACGAACGCUGUAAUUAUAUUUCAGCUGUUCUGUGUUGCAUAGUACCGGUCUGGUUUUAAAUAAAGGAUUCUGAACAAUGGAUAAGUCAAAUCACAAAAAUGAACUCCACAUCUGGGGCAUUAUUCCCGUCUUGGCAACAGGAAGUCCCGGUCCCAGCCACCGGAAGCGGGGUUGGUCCACAUCCCUUGUUUGUUUCGAGCGCCAGCUUGUCUUAAUCAUUCACUAUUUCUCGUUUCUUGACCAAAAACAGCGUCAUAUGGCCACUGAAUCGCCUUUAUUAGAUCCUAGUAUGGAAAACGUUCAGUACAUUUACUCAUAAAAGGUACUGGCACCGACAGCUGCAUGAUCAGUCUGCUUCUGCAGCUGUUACCUUGUCGAUGACUGACGGUAUGGUAAGAAUUUUUCCUUGCCGUCUCGAAGAAGUUACUCGGGAAAUAUUCGAGAGAUUAGCAUCGAAGGAUAGAACCGGAUGGGGCGACCUUGUCCUUGAGGUCAUCAUCGAUGACUAUUACACAUAAUAUGUGCAGUACACGCGAGGAAUUUCAGCCCAAAAAAAGAUAACGAGACUUAGCAUUCAGCACUGUUUGCAAAGUUGCAAUGAUUCAUGUGAAAAGUUACUGAACUUGAAGAGCUGACUAUGGAAGCUGUUGCUUUAUUUUAGUGUUUAGUUUACACUCGAAUGUUAUUUAUUUUCGGCAGAAAUGACGCAACUUAGAUUCAUCUAGCCUUGGAGCAGCCAGCGAAUGGAACACGAAAAGACCCCGAAUGGGCCCCGAAAUUUAACCUUUCACCCAUUUCGUACCUUGAAAACCUGUUCAUUCGCGCUUAUCCCAUUUCAGCUCAUAGCUGAAUUUUGCAACAACGCAUUUGCAUUUUUCGGAGCGAAAUAGAGGGUUCAAAAUUUGACAAAAAGCCUGCUCUUAUCACUUGAGUCACCCUGUAAUCAACCCCAGAAGGAAAAUAUUUAUUCUGUGAUAAGCAUGGAACCGGCAUUGUUUCCAAGUGACUGUACUUUACAGAACGAUUAACAAUGGCUGGGUUUUUUACCAGUGGUUAAAUUCGGCGAUAAAACCCACAUUACAAGAAGGAAAAUUAAUUGCGGCCCAUUUUUAAAGCACUCAAGCGCGAUGAUA